rnacentral:rRNA from 1 species
UGCUUAACACAUGCAAGUCGAACGGAAACGAUACUAGCUUGCUAGUAGGCGUCGAGUGGCGGACGGGUGAGUAACGCGUAGGAAUCUGCCUGAUAGUGGGGGAUAGCCCGAAGAAAUUCGGAUUAAUACCGCAUAAUCUAUUCGUAGUAAAGUGGGGGACUUUCGAGCCUCACGCUAUCAGAUGAGCCUGCGUAAGAUUAGCUUGUUGGUAGGGUAAAAGCCUACCAAGGCGACGAUCUUUAGCUGGUCUGAGAGGAUGAUCAGCCACAUCGGGACUGAGACACGGCCCGAACUCCUACGGGAGGCAGCAGUGGGGAAUAUUGGACAAUGGGGGCAACCCUGAUCCAGCAAUACCGCGUGUGUGAAGAAGGCCUGAGGGUUGUAAAGCACUUUCAAUUGUGAAGAAAAGUUAGCGGUUAAUAACCGUUAGCCUUGACGUUAACUUUAGAAGAAGCACCGGCUAACUCCGUGCCAGCAGCCGCGGUAAUACGGAGGGUGCAAGCGUUAAUCGGAAUUACUGGGCGUAAAGCGUGCGUAGGUGGUUUAUUAAGUCAGAUGUGAAAGCCCCGGGCUUAACCUGGGAACUGCAUUUGAAACUGGUCAACUAGAGUAUGGUAGAGGAAAGUGGAAUUUCUGGUGUAGCGGUGAAAUGCGUAGAUAUCAGAAGGAACAUCAAUGGCGAAGGCAGCUUUCUGGACCAAUACUGACACUGAGGUACGAAAGCGUGGGUAGCAAACAGGAUUAGAUACCCUGGUAGUCCACGCCGUAAACGAUGAUAACUAGCCGUUGGGGGGAUUUACCCUUUAGUGGCGAAGCUAACGCGUUAAGUUAUCCGCCUGGGGAGUACGG